rnacentral:misc_RNA from 1 species
GUGAAUCAUCAAAUUUUUGAACGCAAAUUGCACUCUCCUCGGAGAGUAUGCCUGUUUGAGGGUCAGCCUAUAAAAAUCGACAUCGGUGCCGGUUCGCGGUUGCGGUCGUCGGGAAUUGGGUCAUCUUAAAUCCUUUUGAGUUAAGCGACUUAAAAUUUUCUCUUGUUUCCAUGAACGUUGCUAAGAUCUAUUUCUUUACACGUUGAAGGU